AUGUUAACUUGUGUAUACUUGAGAAUCACAAUUGUCCUUGGGCUUUGUUUCCUAUUGGGUUUUCUGUUUUGAGUCUUAGAAGAGGUUGUAAGCUUCACAUUAAAAAUCACAGUGAAACAAAUAGCAAAGCUGAGAGCUUAAGUUUCACAUUAAAAAUCAUAGUGAAACAAAUAGCAAUAAAUGUAUAGUGUUCAUAGAGGAAUUAGGUCAGCUGGGGACUGGGGUGAUGUUUCAUAUUUGAAGAGCAAUCCUGGUAGUCUUAACAACACAGUCUCUCCAGUUAGUCACCAUUCAUUACUGCAAAUUCAUUCAGUGCUAUUGAUAAAUUUGAAUACUGCUAUUUGAGCAAUUCCCAGCACACAGUCUUGUGUCCACUUUUAUUUGGCUGGUACAUGUUUUUUCUUUUUUGAGAAAACACAAUUGCUCUGCACCUCGUUGUACUGAUAGAAGGAAAGUACCUACACGCCUAAGAUGCAACUCUGGUUAGUACAUUACAAAUUUGGAACAAAAGGCCCAUAAAAUAGUCACAUCUAACAGAGUUUGUUGACAUACCAUAUUGAACCUUUUUUAUUGUCUCUGUCGUUUCUCAAGAUUUUCUUUCAGCUCUUUUGCUAUCAGAUGUUUGUUCUGUGGAUAUCUUUGAUUUUCUUCUGUAAGUGCUAUAUUCUUUGGAAUGUGAACUGGAUGUGUUCACAAUAGAACAUGGUUAAUGCACUUGUCUUGCAGUUUAAUUUGCAUGUGCCAUUUAAACAAUAUUUGCUUAGACUGUACACUCGUCGUGUUACAGACUACUUCUUUUCUGUUUUAUUCUAUAUGAUUGAUUGGUUAACUUCUUUUAGACAUUAUAACAACUAUCUAUGCACAUAACUACUAUGCUGGUAUGGGAACAGCGUUCCAAGAUUGUUGUAAGCCACCAACCAUCAAUUUUCCUGCAACAGACUUGCAAGGAAUAGAACAACCUGAAGUGGAGAAUGAGAUACACCAGGAUUAAUUCUGAGCAUGUAAUGAUGAAUUUCUGCUGGAUGGAAUCUCAUAUGGUCAACUUUGCCGUUAGGCUUCAGGCUUUACUAGAAAGGUUUUCCACUGUUUAAAGACAUCUGCAUAUUGUUGGUUAAAUUCAUAUCUUGUGCCCGGUGGUCCAUAUGCUGACUUCUGUUUUCCAAUAUAAACCUCUGGAACUCACUAUCAUUUCUGCUAGGCAGGAUUUAGUGCAGUAAAUACUGUACAAAUAUGAAAUAUAUAAACAUAGUAGUGGUGAUUUGCACGAGCAGUCAGCAGCAACUGCAGUUAGCCAUAUGAGUGUGUGUUCACAAACAGAAUUCUGUUUAUUGUAGAAAUAAUCUUAUGACACAUUUGUCUUCA